AUUGAACGCUGGCGGCAUGCUUUACACAUGCAAGUCGAACGGAUUUUGGAGCUUGCUCCAGAGUUAGUGGCGAACGGGUGAGUAAUAUAUCGGAACGUACCCGGCAAUGGGGGAUAACGUAGCAAAAGUUACGCUAAUACCGCAUAUGCCCUGAGGGGGAAAGCAGGGGACCAGCGAUGGCCUUGCGUUGUCGGAGCGGCCGAUAUCGGAUUAGCUAGUUGGUGAGGUAAAGGCUCACCAAGGCGACGAUCCGUAGCGGGUCUGAGAGGAUGAUCCGCCACACUGGGACUGAGACACGGCCCAGACUCCUACGGGAGGCAGCAGUGGGGAAUUUUGGACAAUGGGGGCAACCCUGAUCCAGCCAUGCCGCGUGAGUGAAGAAGGCCUUCGGGUUGUAAAGCUCUUUCAGGUGGAAAGAAAAGGUCACUCCUAAUACGAGUGGCUGAUGACGGUACCAUCAGAAGAAGCACCGGCUAACUACGUGCCAGCAGCCGCCGUAACAC
rnacentral:rRNA from 1 species